GGCUCAGAGUGAACGCUGGCGGCAGGCCUAACACAUGCAAGUCGAGCGGCAGCGCGUCCGACCACCCUCGGGUGGUCGGAUGGCGGCGAGCGGCGGACGGGUGAGGAAUGCAUCGGAAUCUGCCUCGUUGUGGGGGAUAACGUAGGGAAACUUACGCUAAUACCGCAUACGACCUACGGGUGAAAGUGGGGGACCUUCGGGCCUCACGCGAUGAGAUGAGCCGAUGCCGGAUUAGCUAGUUGGCGGGUAAAGGCCCACCAAGGCGACGAUCCGUAGCUGGUCUGAGAGAAUGAUCAGCCACACUGGAACUGAGACACGGUCCAGACUCCUACGGGAGGCAGCAGUGGGGAAUAUUGGACAAUGGGGGCAACCCUGAUCCAGCCAUGCCGCGUGUGUGAAGAAGGCCUUCGGGUUGUAAAGCACUUUUGUUGGGGAAGAAACCGGCCGGGUUAAUACCCUGGUUGAAUGACGGUACCCAAAGAAUAAGCACCGGCUAACUUCGUG
rnacentral:rRNA from 1 species